UACGUAGGGUGCAAGCGUUAAUCGGAAUUACUGGGCGUAAAGCGUGCGCAGGCGGCUAUGCAAGUCAGAUGUGAAAUCCCCGGGCUCAACCUGGGAACUGCAUUUGUGACUGCAUAGCUAGAGUACGGUAGAGGGGGAUGGAAUUCCGCGUGUAGCAGUGAAAUGCGUAGAUAUGCGGAGGAACACCGAUGGCGAAGGCAAUCCCCUGGACCGGUACUGACGCUCAUGCACGAAAGCGUGGGGAGCAAACAGG
rnacentral:rRNA from 1 species